GCCAAGUCAACCGAAGGCUGCGGGACUGGAAAAGGUGUUGAACAGUAGAUGGGCACCAGGGUUCAGGUUCUGGGUUAGCCGUGAGUGAACCGUGUCACCUGCGUCUUCUUGGAUGUAGUGUUUUCUGUGCGCCCCUGUGUGUUGUUUUGGUUUGAUUUCAAGUGAGGCCCCUUGCUAAGCUCUUUUACGAGCGUUAUCUCAUUUAAUCCUCCCCAGAAUUGUGUGGUGCAGGUGUAAUUUCUAUCUGCAUUUGAUAAACGAGGAGUCUGUAAAUGAUGAGUAGGAAGACUAAAAACCACAGCCCAAGUUUCCCUUCUAGUAAAUUGUGGGGGCAAAACCCAGACUCAUGUCUGACUAUCUUUAGCACGAGCUCAUAACCAGCAUAUGGCAGGCCUUGGCAGACUGGGACCCACCGUGUGUUUUCGUACAGCCCGAGAGCUAAAAUGGUUUAUCUGUUUUUAAGUUGGAAAAAAAAAAAAUCAAAAGAA